rnacentral:rRNA from 1 species
CCUACGGGAGGCAGCAUUGGGGAAUAUUGGGCAAUGGGCGCAAGCCUGACCCAGCAACGCCGCGUGAAGGAAGAAGGCUUUCGGGUUGUAAACUUCUUUUCUCAGGGACGAAGCAAGUGACGGUACCUGAGGAAUAAGCCACGGCUAACUACGUGCCAGCAGCCGCGGUAAUACGUAGGUGGCAAGCGUUAUCCGGAUUUACUGGGUGUAAAGGGCGUGUAGGCGGGAAAGCAAGUCAGAUGUGAAAACCAUGGGCUCAACCUGUGGCCUGCAUUUGAAACUGUUUUUCUUGAGUACUGGGGAGGCAGACGGAAUUCCUAGUGUAGCGGUGAAAUGCGUAGAUAUUAGGAGGAACACCAGUGGCGAAGGCGGUCUGCUGGACAGCAACGGACGCUGAGGCGCGAAAGCGUGGGGAGCAAACAGGAUUAGAGACCCCGGUAGUC